rnacentral:miRNA from 1 species
UGAUGACGUUUGUGCUGAAAU